ACGCUCGACACCUACGGGGGCAGCAGUGGGGAAUAUUGCACAAUGGGGGAAACCCUGAUGCAGCGACGCCGCGUGAGCGAAGAAGUAUUUCGGUAUGUAAAGCUCUAUCAGCAGGGAAGAAACUGACGGUACCUGACUAAGAAGCACCGGCUAAAUACGUGCCAACAGCCGCGGUAAUCUGAGCGGGCUGGCAAGGC
rnacentral:rRNA from 1 species